rnacentral:rRNA from 1 species
UCCGUAGGCGGUGCGGCAAGUCGGAAGUGAAAUCUCUGGGCUUAACUCAGAGGCUGCUUCCGAAACUGCCGUGCUCGAGUGCGAGAGAGGCAAGUGGAAUUGCGGGUGUAGCGGUGAAAUGCGUAGAUAUCCGCAGGAACAUCCGAGGCGAAAGCGGCUUGCUGGAUCGCAAUUGACGCUGAGGGACGAAAGCUAGGGGAGCAAACAGGAUUAGAUACCCUGGUAGUCCUAGCCCUAAACCAUCAGGACUUGGGGUUUGCCCUGUACGGGGCAAGUCCCGGAGCUAACGCGUUAAGUCCUGCGCCUGGGGAGUACGGUCGCAAGGCUGAA